rnacentral:rRNA from 1 species
CAGUCGCCGCGGGAAUACAGAGGGUGCGAGCGUUAAUCGGAUUUACUGGGCGUAAAGCGUGCGUAGGCGGCUAAUUGAGUCGGAUGUGAAAUCCCCGAGCUUAACUUGGGAAUUGCAUUCGAUACUGGUUAGCUAGAGUGUGGGAGAGGAUGGUAGAAUUCCAGGUGUAUCGGUGAAAUGCGUAGAGAUCUGGAGGAAUACCGAUGGCGAAGGCAGCCAUCUGGCCUAAUACUGACGCUGAGGUACGAAAGCAUGGGGAGCAAACAGGAUUAGAUACCCCCGUAGUCCCUGUCUCUUAUAC